CAGCUCUGAGUUUAAACCCCUCACACCUGAGAGAGCUGGAUCUGAGCUACAAUCACCCAGGACAAUCAGGAGUCCAGCUGCUCAAACACAAACUGCAGGAUCCAAACUAUAAACUGCAGAUACUCAAUGUGAAUCAUGGAGGAGAGAUCAGAAUUACAGCAGGACUACGAAAGUAUGCCUGUGAUCUCACACUGGAUCCAAACACAGCAAACACUUACAUCAUUCUCUCUGAUAAGAACAGGAAGAUCACACGUGUGA